rnacentral:rRNA from 1 species
AGAGUUUGAUCCUGGCUCAGGAUGAACGCUGGCGGCGUGCUUAACACAUGCAAGUCGAACGGGAAUUAUUUUAUUGAAACUUCGGUCGAUUUAAUUUAAUUCUAGUGGCGGACGGGUGAGUAACGCGUGGGUAACCUGCCUUAUACAGGGGGAUAACAGUCAGAAAUGACUGCUAAUACCGCAUAAGCGCACAGAGCUGCAUGGCUCGGUGUGAAAAACUCCGGUGGUAUAAGAUGGACCCGCGUUGGAUUAGCUAGUUGGUGAGGUAACGGCCCACCAAGGCGACGAUCCAUAGCCGACCUGAGAGGGUGACCGGCCACAUUGGGACUGAGACACGGCCCAAACUCCUACGGGAGGCAGCAGUGGGGAAUAUUGCACAAUGGGCGAAAGCCUGAUGCAGCGACGCCGCGUGAGCGAAGAAGUAUUUCGGUAUGUAAAGCUCUAUCAGCAGGGAAGAUAAUGACGGUACCUGACUAAGAAGCACCGGCUAAAUACGUGCCAGCAGCCGCGGUAAUACGUAUGGUGCAAGCGUUAUCCGGAUUUACUGGGUGUAAAGGGAGCGCAGGCGGUGCGGCAAGUCUGAUGUGAAAGCCCGGGGCUCAACCCCGGUACUGCAUUGGAAACUGUCGUACUAGAGUGUCGGAGGGGUAAGCGGAAUUCCUAGUGUAGCGGUGAAAUGCGUAGAUAUUAGGAGGAACACCAGUGGCGAAGGCGGCUUACUGGACGAUAACUGACGCUGAGGCUCGAAAGCGUGGGGAGCAAACAGGAUUAGAUACCCUGGUAGUCCACGCCGUAAACGA